GCUUGCUGGCUAACCACUCGAGGACUUGAGAUUUGAGACUUUUCAGACUGGGUAAGGAGACUAGGUUGGGGAGAACGUUACUUACUUACUCACUUACUUAGUUACUUAGUGGCUGAGGCUGAAUGAGGGAGUCAGAGAGUUGGCCGUCCUGUUCAUAAGACACAAAGAAAUGAGGGCCGCCGAGUUCGUUCGUGGUUGUAAUAAAUAAAUUCCUCCUCAUGAUCACCUCAAUGAAAGGGGAAGUGCGUACAAAGUGAUAAACGGAGCCCUAAAGGAAGUAAUUAAUGAUCCAACAACCAACCAGGAGGAUCGGUGGGAGUCCCAACGUGUCUCGGGUGCUCUAAUUUCGAAUCCGACCGAGGAGUGGAAAUGAAAAAAAUCAAAGGAGGCCAGCCAACAACAGGAGUCGAAAAUUGAUCCACGGAUUCAUUCUCUUUCUCUCUUAUUGUAUUGCCCGGGGAAAACCGGAUACAUUGAAUAACCUUCGGUUGGCGGCUCAAAAAGGGCAGUCUUUAAAUCAAAAUAUUGGGCACAGUACGGGCCAUUACUACUGUACCCCUGCUUGCGUCUUCAUUUCAUUCAAAUUGGGGACAAAUCACCCACCAUACGACGUACAAUAGGUCUAUAUUAACUGCCCCACAGUAAAUGGUGUUCAAUAAGCCGUUUUGUAAUUGUUGCCGCCUAAUUCUGAUCAUAACUUCGAUUCGAGCCUCUUGACUUGACGUUUUCUCCAAUGAUUGGCACCAAUUUGAUCGCUCCGUGAACUCAAAUAUUGAUCGAUCCCACCGCAUAAUUGCCAUUCACAAGACGCUCGAGGAUUAUAAAACCGGCAUUGUGAACGACGGAACGGAAGCCCACGUGUGUAAUAGUGCACAUCAACCGCACAAUACUUCAAUGAAUAUCCAGAGUGCAGGUUUUGAGAAUGUCAAGAAGCAUGUCGGAUUGGUUCUACAUAUCGAUUGCAUUCAUUUUCAUAUCACCACUUAUGAGUAAAAGUCUGUUUCACAA